AUGUGGAGGGGGGGCAAGAUCCCACCCGUAGGGAUAGGUAGACACUCUGCCCCCCCCCAAAUGACCCACCAGAGCAAGGUACCUGUGGAUGUUUCUAUGUGUGUUUGUGAGGCUGAUCCUCCUUCGCAUCUCCUGCAAGUGGAUAAAGGAUUUGGGGGGGGGGAGGAGGUUUCCAUCAUCCUUCUCCCUCUCAGUCCUCCCCCUCCUCAUCCUUCCUUCCUGAAUGACACGCAAGGGGGGGGGAAAUGUCCGAGUGCGUGUCCAGGAAGGGAGGGAUCCUGCCCGCCUGGAGGGGUGCAAAAGGGGGGGGCAGGAGAAGGGAAACCAGCCUGGCUUUCUGCCCUUCCUUUCCUCCUCUGGCCAAAGCCUGGGGGGCGACUGGAGGGGGCUUCGGUUUCCCUGGGUGGAGAGGAGCCCUGGCAGGGGGGCAGGAAAGAGGGGGCCAGGGCCUUAGGGAGGGAGGAAGGCAAGGCAGUGGGAAAGGGGGUUNNNNNNNNNNNNNNNNNNNNNNNNNNNNNNNNNNNNNNNNNNNNNNNNNNNNNGCAGUGCAGUGGGAAAGGGGUUUGGGGAAGAAGAAGGAGGGGAAGGGGGCAAGCAAAAGGGGCCCCUCCUCUGGGAGGUGUCCUGGACGACAUUGUCUUAUUGCACAGGCACCGUUGCCAGAUCAAAAUCUUAAGGGGCUCUCGAUUCAGUUGCAUUUUUCCAGACGAUCUGUCAGAGAUAAAAGCAAACCAGAUCCAUCUCAAGCUCUCUCCAAAGGAGGGGGUGAAACGGAGCUGAUUUGUUUUUCUCCGGACCAGAAGAGACUAAUCUAAUUCAAAAUCCCUCUAGCAUUUGCAAGGCAGGUAAGAAGAUUUCUUUCUUUUAAAUCAGAGGUACAGUUAGUAAGAUGCAAGGCAUUGCAAAGCUUAGGUAAGUAAGUCAGUUAAUUUUUGCCCAGUAACUUCAAGAGCAUUUGGAGGAGCCACCACCAGAACACCCAUGACAGAUGCUGAGGGACAGAGAGGAUGGUGAGAUGAUUGUGAUGUUGCCUAUUUCUCUCAACGUGAGCAACAAAAUUCCCAUAUUUUUGCAGUUCACUUUGCUUCUGUCAACUUCAGUCUUCAGCCUCCUGAGUGACUUCCAUGUAGCUCAGUGGUCCAUGUGACCAGGGUCUGGACUUUCCUGAUUUCUGAUUCAUCCCUAAGAGGUGUGUAGUUCUUUUCUCUGUCAUUAUAGUUCUCGCAUUCUCUGUUGUCUCCUUUAAAAAUCACAGAUUUUUUAAAAAACUGUUCCUAGAUUUUAAUGUGGAUAGAAGAAGAAGACUAACAAAGAAUAUAUACAGAUUCAAGGUAGAUACUCUUGAGUCCUUCAUUCUUAACAGCUGCGUCUCUACAUGAGUGGGUGCCAUGUCUGUUUGGUCAUCACCCUUGAUCAAGAGGGAUGGACUUCAGGCCUCCAGAUAUGACUCCCCAGCUUUCCUGGAGUGCUCGCUCUGCCUCUUCCCCAUGGGCCGGACUAUACCCAACUAGGCGGGAGUCUUCACCUCCAGGGUAGCCUCAAGUCAAGGGUGUCAUUCUUGGUGUUCGUGGUUGGGUGACCCCAACUGGUUCCUGAUACUGUCGAGGAAAUGUUCUUUCCUAUGGAGACUUGGUUUGUAAAAGAGUUGUUCCAGAGGCACCAGUGUAAGGUGAUAUGUCGAAGGAGUGUAUGAAGUACUCUUCGCCCUUCUCACCAACCACCACAUACACACCAUGAGAUUCUCUUGGCCAGUAAGGGUUCAAAUCCAGAUUGCCUGGGUCUCAGCUUGAAUAUCUACUACGCUACCCUCUCUGAACCUUUACAGAGUGUUUUUCUUAUUGCUCCCAGUCCUACAUCCACCGAAACAGAAGCUAGACUGCUGGAACCGUGGUUUCUGUUCCAGAAGCCUAACUUUGGCUCGGAUCCAUAGGGAGGGCUUCCCUUUGGACAAACCUGACUAAGGCAAUUCCCCCCGUUGUCUUAGAAAAGGAGGGGGAAGAGUGUUGUGUGGGCAGAACAAGAAGUUCAGACAAUAGUGGAGGAGUCCAUAUACUAGUGGAUCAGGCAGUUAAGACACAACCUGCAAACAGUAUUCAGGCCCACCACAAAAAUACAACAAAUGUUACGGUCAGCAAAGGAUAAAAGGGACCCCCUCGCCACUGCAGGAGUACACCGGAUACCUUACAGUUGUUGCCAGGUAAAUAUUGGAACCACAAAACACAGCAUCCACACCAGAAUCAAAGAAGAGACACUGCAGACUAAAACAACCAGAUAAAACACAAUAAUAAAUAAAAGAUAUUGCUAGAAGACUUUUUAAAA
ensembl:lncRNA